GGUGGCGGCGGUGUCGUUGGCGGCAGCGGGAGUGGGUGCGGCGGCAGCGGCGGCGGCGCCCGCGGGUGGUAUAAAAUGGCGGAUUUCGAAGAGUUGAGGAGUGGCUGUACCAUUUUACAUCCCUACCAGCAAUGUAUGGAGUGAUCCAGUUUCUCUGCAUCCUCGCCAGCAUUUGGUGUUAUCAGUGUUUUUCAUUUUAGCCAUUCUGCCCAUAGAGCCAGUUGCAUUAACAUCCUUUGCCAAAUAAUGUUAUCACUGGAAAUAUGAGAUAUGAGACCUAGAAAUUCCUUUGAGAGUCAAGCUUAGAAUAUGGUUUCUAGUUUUAGGGU
rnacentral:sRNA from 1 species